UGAGGAAUAUUGGUCAAUGGGCGAGAGCCUGAACCAGCCAAGUAGCGUGCAGGAAGACGGCCCUAUGGGUUGUAAACUGCUUUUAUGCGGGGAUAAAGUGAGGGACGUGUCCUUCAUUGCAGGUACCGCAUGAAUAAGGACCGGCUAAUUCCGUGCCAGCAGCCGCGGUAAUACGGAAGGUCCAGGCGUUAUCCGGAUUUAUUGGGUUUAAAGGGAGCGUAGGCCGUGGAUUAAGCGUGUUGUGAAAUGCAGGUGCUCAACGUCUGCACUGCAGCGCGAACUGGUCCACUUGAGUGUGCGCAACGCAGGCGGAAUUCGUCGUGUAGCGGUGAAAUGCUUAGAUAUGACGAAGAACUCCGAUUGCGAAGGCAGCUUGCGGGAGCACAACUGACGCUGAAGCUCGAAAGUGCGGGUAUCGAACAGGAUUAGAUACCCUGGUAGUCCGCACGGUAAACGAUGGAUGCCCGUUGUCAGGCUGUUUCAGCCUGGUGACCAAGCGAAAGCAUUAAGCAUCCCACCUGGGGAGUACGCCGGCAACGGUG
rnacentral:rRNA from 1 species